rnacentral:rRNA from 1 species
UACGAAGGGAGCUAGCGUUGUUCGGAAUCACUGGGCGUAAAGCGCACGUAGGCGGAUUUGUCAGUCAGGGGUGAAAUCCCCGGGGGCUCAACCUCGGAACUGCCUUUUGAUACAGCAAGUCUUUGAGUUCGAGAGAGGUGGGUGGAAUUCCCUAGUGUAGAGGUGAAAUUCGUAGAUAUUCGGAGGAACACCAGUGGCGAAGGCGGCUCACUGGUCCAUUACUGACGCUGAGGUGCGAAAGCGUGGGGAGCAAACAGG